UGUGGGAGCGGGCUUGCUCGCGAAUGCGUAGGGACAUCCAGCAUCACUGUAAGCUGGCCCACCGCUUUCGCGAGCAAGCCCGCUCCCACA
rnacentral:misc_RNA from 1 species